rnacentral:rRNA from 1 species
UACAGAGGUCUCAAGCGUUGUCCGGAAUUAUUGGGCGUAAAGAGCUCGUAGGCGGUCUGUCGCGUCGGAUGUGAAAACCCGGGGCUUAACCCCGGGCCUGCAUUCGAUACGGGCAGACUCGAGUGUGGUAGGGGAGACUGGAACUCCUGGUGUAGCGGUGAAAUGCGCAGAUAUCAGGAAGAACACCGGUGGCGAAGGCGGGUCUCUGGGCCACUACUGACGCUGAGGAGCGAAAGCGUGGGGAGCGAACAGG